rnacentral:lncRNA from 1 species
ACACACACACACUCCACUAAGACUCCAAAGGAGAAAGAUGGGGAAGAGGUUUUGUCUUCCCGUUGGCAGUGUGUCUGGAAGGCAUGAACACUUUGGACUCUGUUUUAGGGGUAGAACUCAGAUGUCCUAUGAAGAGUCAAACCACUUUGACUUUAGGGUGGGAGGAGAGGGGAUGGGUUAGGGGUAAGAUGAGGUGUAACUUAAGCUAAAUGUAUUCUAUUUAUGAAGCAAGAGACUGUAUUUUUAUGAAAGGAAAAGGUUUUUAAUCUAGGGUAGGCAGUCAUGGUGGCCCAGCAUUUUGCUGUGGAUAAGAUACCGCCAUGUUCAUUGACUCCGGUGUACAAUCAACAGUAAACCCCUCUCCUCAGCUUGCCCUCCGUCCUCACUGAACGUCCGCACACAGCUGGGGCGGGAGUUUGUUGUUUCUUCUUCCCCGGCCCUCAGCUCCUUAGAAGUCUUGGAAGGGAGUGGGGAGGGAGGGUGGAAUGCAGAAAACUGAGGUGGGGGAGAGGUAGGUUCUAAUUAGUCACCCCAUCUCCCUUCUGGCCAGACCUGCUCCCAUUCAGCUGUGUGGGGAGAGUAGGAGGGAGGUUCUGUGGGGUUGGGGGACACAGGACUUCUUAGGGGCAUAGGGACUUACUAUGUCUGAAGUCGUCAGGCAGCUGGAGCAGGCAUAGAAGGGACUCAGGACACUAAGAGCUCAGCCCUGUCUGUGUCUACUCCAGGCCAAGGUCGAGCUUGGUUGUGGAUGAAGGACCAGGACUCUGUAGGGUUUCAUCAGACCUGGGUCCUCCCUCUGGGACUGACCUAGUGGGAGGAGUGGAGACGGGUCUGGGCAAAGCCAUACACACUCUGGGAAAAGAUUUCCAGGCUCAGCGUGGACUGUGUGUGAGUCUCAGGCAAACUCCUCACCUUAUGACUUCCUUCCCAAGCUCUCGAGGACAUGUGAAUUCCCCACCAUGACACGACCCCUUUCCACACACUGUAGCAUCUACCUGGUUUUUAGUCCCACCCUACCCACCGUUGCUGUGUCUGUCAGCUGGGUCUGAAAAUCACCGGGAGGGGUUUGUACUCAUCAAAGACUACUGACCCUACCAGAAAACCAACCUGUUUACUGUACUGUUGUAAAUACUGUGCCCUUUAUAUCGUGUAUAUUGGCUUCUUUGGAAUAAAGUAAAAUGUCUUAGC